rnacentral:piRNA from 1 species
UAGAAGUUUUUAUUCCUGCCCUGGUUCCAG